rnacentral:rRNA from 1 species
CCAAUAGCGUAUAUUAAAGUUGUUGCAGUUAAAAAGCUCGUAGUUGAAUUUCAGGCCUGGCUGGACGGUCCACCCUUCGGGUGAGUACUGUCUGUGGUCGGGUCCUACCUUCUGGCGAAGCGUCAUGGCCUUAACCGGCCGUGGCGGGGAACCAGGACUUUUACUGUGAAAAAAUUAGAGUGUUCAAAGCAGGCAAUCGCUUGGAUACAUUAGCAUGGAAUAAUGGAAUAGGACAAUGGUUCUAUUUGUUGGUUUCUAGGACCGUUGUAAUGAUUAAUAGGGAUAGUUGGGGGCAUUAGUAUUCAAUUGUCAGAGGUGAAAUUCUUGGAUUUAUUGAAGACUAACUACUGCGAAAGCAUUUGCCAAGGAUGUUUUCAUUAAUCAAGAACGAAAGUUAGGGGAUCGAAGACGAUCAGAUACCGUCGUAGUCUUAACCAUAAACUAUGCCGACUAGGAAUCGGGCGAUGUUGAAAAAAUGACGCGCUCGGCACCUCAUG